rnacentral:rRNA from 1 species
GACGAACGCUGGCGGCGUGCCUAACACAUGCAAGUCGAGCGGAGAAACAAAAGAGCAGCUUGCUGCGAUUUGUUUCUUAGCGGCGGACGGGUGAGUAACGCGUGGGUAAUCUGCCUCAAACAGGGGGAUAACACAGGGAAACUUGUGCUAAUACCGCAUAAGACCCCACCAUGGCAUCAUGGAGAGGUCAAAGGAAGAAAUUCCGGUUUGAGAUGAGCCCGCGUCUGAUUAGCUAGUUGGUGAGGUAACGGCUCACCAAGGCGACGAUCAGUAGCCGAACUGAGAGGUUGAUCGGCCACAUUGGGACUGAGACACGGCCCAGACUCCUACGGGAGGCAGCAGUGGGGAAUAUUGCACAAUGGGGGAAACCCUGAUGCAGCGACGCCGCGUGAAGGAAGAAGGCCCUCGGGUUGUAAACUUCUUUGACCAGGGACGAAGAAAGUGACGGUACCUGGAGAACAAGCCACGGCUAACUACGUGCCAGCAGCCGCGGUAAAGCUAACGU